GCGGGGAGCUAGCGGUGCCCUGUACCCGCAAUCCGCUAUAGCGGGGCGGAACUCCUCUUCGAGAAUCGGCGGUCAGCGGGACUGCCCUGCCGGUAGGCGUUGAUGGCUGGGUCCUGUGCGGCGGGGACCUGCGAAUCUGGUCAGGACCGGAAGGUAGCAGCCAUAAACAGUCACCCUCGGGCGCCACAGGGCUGCCUGGCCUGAGCAGAUCGGUCAGGGUAAGCCGAGUGACGAGGUACGACAAGAGGUGCACGG
rnacentral:SRP_RNA from 1 species